GACCUCGAGUGCCAGGUUACAAAUCUGGCUGUCGUGAUGCCUAAAAAGCAUUGCAUAGCAAGGGCCGGGCAAGACCGGUGCCAGCCGCCGCGGUAACACCGGCGGCUCGAGUGGUAACCGUUAUUAUUGGGUCUAAAGGGUCUGUAGCCGGCCGGAUAAGUCUCUUGGGAAAUCUGGCAGCUUAACUGUCAGGCUUUCAGGAGAUACUGUCUGGCUCGAGGCCGGGAGAGGUGAGAGGUACUUCAGGGGUAGGGGUGAAAUCUUGUAAUCCUUGAAGGACCACCAGUGGCGAAGGCGUCUCACCAGAACGGACCUGACGGCAAGGGACGAAAGCUAGGGGCACGAACCGGAUUAGAUACCCGGGUAGUCCUAGCCGUAAACGAUACUCGCUAGGUGUCGGCCACGGUGCGACCGUUGUCGGUGCCGUAGGGAAGCCGUGAAGCGAGCCACCUGGGAAGUACGGCCGCAAGGCUGAAACUUAAAGGAAUUGGCGGGGGAGCAC
rnacentral:rRNA from 1 species